GCUGUGGCUCAGGGGCAGAACAUCAUCUUUCAUGCAGAAAGUCGCAGGUUCAAUCCCUGGCAUCUCCA